UGUGUGGUGUGGAAUGGCGCCUGCGACAACGGCAGCCUGUCAUGGCAGCUCCUUUCAUUGUUGUAGUUUUAAUGUGUUUUCAGUGUGUUUUUGCUAUUUUGAACUAUUUUCUUACUUUCUUACUACUUUGUUCACGUCGCCUAAAUACUUUUUUGGCGUUUUUGAGCACUUUUUAUUUUUUGUUUACGCUGGUCUCCAUGGCGACGAGGAGUCGCAUUGUUUUCACCCGCGACCAGAUGAUCGCCCUGAGGCCCCCUAGCAUCCUGACUGGAGAGAGACCCUCCAUACCGGAGGAGCUGAGGAGGAGACGGUGAGGCUGCAGAGCGGGGGUUAAACGGAGGAUGAAGAGGAGGAGGUUUGAACCCUACACCCCUGCAAUCAUCGAGCAGAUACCGGACGGUUCGAGCCGACAGGGACACCACCGCGACCGGCAUGAAGAAAGGAGGGGGACUGUCCGUGCUCAUAAACAACAGGUGGUGUAACGCCGGGCACGUCUGUGUGAAAGAGCGUCUGCAGCCCGGACAUCGAGCUCGUCGCCGUCGGACUUCGUCCGUGUUGUCUGCCACGGGAACUUUCCAGUGUUAUCGCCAUCACUGUCUAUAUUCCUCACAGUGGUCUUCAUCAUCACCAUCACUGUCUAUAUUCCUCACAGUGGUCUUCAUCAUCACCAUCACUGUUUACAUUUAUGAUGUCCUAUUUAUUCUCCUGUACAGCACUUUGGUCAACUUUGGUUGUUUUUAAAGUGCUUAACAAAUAAAGUUGGAUUGGAUUGGAUUGGAUAAUACUAGAAAAGCAUUAUAUAUGCAAGAACAAUCCAUUUACCAUAUUCUUCACUGUGUCAGAACCUAUAGGUGUGCAUCACCUGUGUGAUCAUGAGAAGGCUGAAGAACCAGGAGUGACAAGAUAUCACCGGCUGCUGGGGUGCAGCAUUAAACCCAGAGACAGACAUUUUGGAAAUGAAAAGUCUCCUGCCACAAGAUCUUCAGAGCCAGAGCAUCAAAGAUCCAGACGAUUUCUGCCAAUUUGGAGGAGGAUUCAGAUUUUUCUGCUUUUUCUGCUGUGUUGCACCUCUGUUACAGAUUCAUUGACCCUUUGUGGUAUAUUUUCAUUUUACUUAAUAAUACACUGUAUAGUUAGGAUUCUUAAUUAAAAGACUGUAAUGCUUCUCCACAGAUGUUAUCAGAACUACCUUAUACAGAGCCCCCAAGGGUUAGGAGAAUGAAGAAGACCACAACUCCCUCAGCUCAACAACACAAUUUGUUGCUUCCUCCAUCCAUUUCAAAGGUGAAAUCUUGACCUCAUUUUGAUAGAAAUGCUAACAGACACACAUGUUACACACAUUUAGUUUUUCAGUUCCUCCUGGGGGGCUCUAAAGAACUGUUGUGAAUAAUUGGUUGAUAUUGUAAAUUGACAUCUGAAUACAAAAAAUAAAAGGAUUUUAGAAUCAAUA